rnacentral:rRNA from 1 species
GACGAACCGUGCGAACGUUAUUCGGAAUCACUGGGCUUAAAGGGCGCGUAGGCGGGCGGCUUUGUCAGGGGUGAAAUCUUUCGGCCUAACCGGAAGACUGCCUCUGAGACGGGCCGUCUCGAGGGAGGUAGGGGCAUGCGGAACUUCCGGUGGAGCGGUGAAAUGCGUAGAUAUCGGAAGGAACACCGGUGGCGAAAGCGGCGCGCUGGAUCUCUUCUGACGCUGAGGCGCGAAAGCCAGGGGAGCGAACAGG